rnacentral:rRNA from 1 species
CCUACGGGAGGCAGCAGUGGGGAAUAUUGGGCAAUGGGCGCAAGCCUGACCCAGCAACGCCGCGUGAAGGAAGAAGGCUUUCGGGGUGUAAACGUCUUUUGGCAGGGAAGAGGAGAAGACGGUACCUGACGAAUAAGCCACGGCUAACUACGGGCCAGCAGCCGCGGUAAUACGGAGGUGGCAAGCGGUGUCUGGAUUUACUGGGUGUAAAGGGCGUGUAGCCGGGUUGACAAGUCAGAUGUGAAAUCCUGCGGCUUAACCGCAGAACUGCAUUUGAAACUGUUGAUCUUUGGUACUGGAGAGGCAGCCGGACUUCCUCGUGUCGCGGUGAACUGCGUCACUCUUAGGAGGACCCCCAGUG